rnacentral:rRNA from 1 species
GUGGGGAAUAUUGGACAAUGGGGGGAACCCUGAUCCAGCCAUGCCGCGUGUGUGAAGAAGGCCUUUUGGUUGUAAAGCACUUUAAGCGAGGAGGAGGCUACCGAGAUUAAUACUCUUGGAUAGUGGACGUUACUCGCAGAAUAAGCACCGGCUAACUCUGUGCCAGCAGCCGCGGUAAUACAGAGGGUGCGAGCGUUAAUCGGAUUUACUGGGCGUAAAGCGUGCGUAGGCGGCUUUUUAAGUCGGAUGUGAAAUCCCUGAGCUUAACUUAGGAAUUGCAUUCGAUACUGGAAAGGUAGAGUAUGGGAGAGGAUGGUAGAAUUCCAGGUGUAGCGGUGAAAUGCGUAGAGAUCUGGAGGAAUACCGAUGGCGAAGGCAGCCAUCUGGCCUAAUACUGACGCUGAGGUACGAAAGCAUGGGGAGCAAACAGGAUUAGAAACCCGUGUAGUCC